rnacentral:tRNA from 1 species
GACCAGGGAUGGGAAUCGAACACACAAUGUUCCGUUUACCAGGCAGAUGCCAUGUCCACUUAGCUACCCUGGA